rnacentral:lncRNA from 1 species
AAAGUUAUAUUAAUCAAAUGCUUGUGUUUAUAAAUCUGUGUAGGUUCACGGAGACUACACAGCAGAGGAUGUUGGUGUGAAGGUAGACAGGCCGGCUGAUGAGGUUGUCGAGGAACCUACUGAGAUUAUUGGAGCGUAAGAGAAGGUUUUUUGAAGAAAUGUUUAAAACCGAGAGAUCUUUGUUUCAUCUAAAACUUUCUAGUAUCUUUAAUGCUUUUCUCUCAUUGUACUCUCUUUUGAUCCUCAGCUUCUAUGUUGAUGUAUUGAUUACUUUUCUUUAUAUAAACUUGAGUUUUGGAUAAUUUGUGCAUAACCUUUUUUCUCCCAGUUUGGGAGUUAAAUUACGGCUAUAGAAAGAAAAUGUAUCAAUUCAGUACUGCCCUGAUCAUUUUAGGAAUUAUAUAUGAAAAUCAUAAAUAAAAAUACCAUAUAAUUUAUGUUGAAACAAAUGUUCAAUGUUGUUUUUAUUAGUGCUAUAUGAUUAUUUUUUAUCAUAUUUAGGGAAGAGCAAAUUUUGUUUAUGAAUGGAUAAAAAAACUAUUCUUUAUGAAUGGUAAUUUUUUUAGGAAUAUCAAAAAUACAUUGUAUUUCUUCAUUGCUUGGUCACCAUUUAUAACCUUAGUAAAUUACAAUAAACCAAGAAAUUUAUCCAAACCGGAUUCUGGUAAGGUAAGUAGGGUGGGGUCUAGGUGGCAAGGUCUAGGAAACUGAUGCAUAGGCAUUUGUCAUGGCAUUAUUAUUACAGAACUAGACAGAGAGGCAAACAUGUGAUAAUUCCACAAAGACCCAAAAGAAAAUAAAUGUUGAAGCAAUAGGAAGGCAUUAUGAAGGACACAUCUAUGUCUCUCUCUUUUCUCACUAAACUUUUCAAGAUUUUUCACAGACAAAAAGAGCCAAAAAGAGAGAAAGUUAUCAAACCAAACGGCAAGCAGUUUCAUAGUUUCUCUAUAAGACUCUCUCAGGGUCCCUCCACCCCAUUGGAAUAUUCAAAUCUAAAAAUUUGAAUUGACAGUAUAAAGACUAAAAGUAACUUGGCUUGCUCUAAAAGUUCUUUCUCUUGACUUGACAAUCCAAGUGAACUUUGAUGUUUUUUUCAAGCAAGAGUGCAAAGUUGUACACUUUUUUUGGGUGGGUGGAUAAAUAAUCAUAAAACUAUGCAAAGACUCUCCCAAGUCAAGGAUUGCAUUCAAGUACAACUGACUCAAAACAAAGUUAUGUAUACUAUGUCUGAAAAAGGUAACAAGAAACAAAACCCCAAACCAUAAUAUAUCUUUGAGGAGAAUGCAAAUGCUUAAUACACUAAAUCAAAACAUCUCAGAUGCAGCAAGAACACCUUAGCAUUCAACUUUGAACAAGUCUUUACAAGUCUCACGUACAAAAUACUACAUAUGAAACUGAUCAUAUGAUUAAAUAAAUGAACAAGAAUCAACAGUUCAUUUUUAUUCUUCUCUACUCGUUCUUCCAAGCGUACAGAAACAAUGUAAACCCAAAACUCUGAGGUCUCAAGCUCGUUGGGACCUGCGUGGAAGACCAAGUCUUUUCAACAGCUUGACGAGUCCUGAACAUAAACACACCAUUCCCUGGUGACGAUGGCACCCCAAAGAACCAACUGUGAACAUCCCAGAGAACUUCGACAGAGACCCUAUUCACAACUAUCGUCUCAUUACCACGGAACUUCCAACGAAGCCGCUUCACCUCCAUCAAUGUCUUCCCAUCAACACUAACAAUAAGGCAAGGAUCGCUAAUACUUGUGUCACACUCAACGACAAGAUCAUGUGUUUCACCAUCACCUGAGAACUGAGCCUUUGUUGCAAACGUUCUCUUACCAAACACAUGCUCUUUCUUGGCAAUGAACACAGCACUCAGAGAUGAAGCAGCGUUAGUCUUUUUGAAAGCUUCUUUCUUCAUAUCACCAAGAAGAAGAACCAUUUCUGUAUCCACAAGAACGCUGACAUAGAACCCACAUAAAGGUUCAGGGCUGGAUCCGAAUUUAGCAGACGAGAGAUCCCAAUAAAUAUCACACGCCUCUAGAUUCUUGUACCCUUUUCGUUUGGUGAAGAGCCAGGGCUUGAUCUCGAAUUUACAUAGACUUCGGUUGCAAGAGUCAUCGACUCCUAUGGUUACACACUGACCCAUCAGAGUCUUAGUCCAUGUGACUGUGAUCAAACAAGUCCUACCUCUGAUGCAGCAACGGUAGAUACAAACGACCAGAUUCUGUGAAACUUUUACAGCGUUGGAGGUGGAAGGAUCUGUAACCUGAACGCCAUUUUCACUGGAGCAAGAAGUGAAGUUUCUCAUUUUCUUCUUCUUCUCUCUCUGUGCAAAAGUAAGAGUCCAAAAAGACAGAAACAGAGGAAAAGGAGACUGUUUCACUGUGGAGUGAUUUUAAAAACGUUAACUAAUUACCGAACUUUUAUUUAUAUAGUUUAAGAUUGGUUAUUUAUAAAAAUAUUUUUUGGCAUUAAUAUUAGAAAAGUCUUCGAAUAAUAAAUUAUCAAUAUGGUUCAGGAACCUACUGAGAUUAUUGGAGCGUAAGAGAAGGUUUUUUGAAGAAAUGUUUAAAACCGAGAGAUCUUUGUUUCAUCUAAAACUUUCUAGUAUCUUUAAUGCUUUUCUCUCAUUGUACUCUCUUUUGAUCCUCAGCUUCUAUGUUGAUGUAUUGAUUACUUUUCUUUAUAUAAACUUGAGUUUUGGAUAAUUUGUGCAUAACCUUUUUUCUCCCAGUUUGGGAGUUAAAUUACGGCUAUAGAAAGAAAAUGUAUCAAUUCAGUACUGCCCUGAUCAUUUUAGGAAUUAUAUAUGAAAAUCAUAAAUAAAAAUACCA